rnacentral:rRNA from 1 species
CCCUUAGAUGUUCUGGGCUGCACGCGUGCUACACUGCUAUUGCCAAUAUGUCAUUCUUAUCCGAAAUGGAUUGGGUAAUCAAGUAAUGAAAUUUCAUGCUUGGAAUCGGUAAUUGCAAUUUUAUCGUGAACGAGGAAUUCCUAGUAAGCACUAGUCAUCAGCUAAUGUUGAUUAUGUCCCUGCCCUUUGUACACACCGCCCGUCGCUACUACUGAUUGGGUGUUCAAGUGAGAUGCUUAGACCCUUGUUGCAUGGUUCAUUAUUGUGCUCCGAAAGGAAAAAGUUUCAAGCUUGAGUGUCUAGAGGAAGUAAAAGUCGUAACA